CUCUGCCCCUGGUAGUUGCUCAUGCAGGCCCUGCCCACCUCUCCACUUUUUCCCUGGAGGCACUAGUGCACUGAGAUCCUGCCCUGCAGCUGUUCCCUAGGCCAGAAAGGAUAUAAAGGUGUUGUUAACAAAGUAUCCCAAAUGGAAUGGCUGCAAACCACAGCAGUGAGUUUUCUCAGUUUGGUAGGCUGGAGACACCUGCCUUCUCACCUCCCCCAAGGAACAGAUGUCUGGAGUCUCCAGGAUGACAGUACAUGGGUUGCCUUUCCAGCCACACCUCUUGCUGAGCGUGGACCCACCAACACCCAGCUCUCCCCUUCCCCAUGUCUCCCCAUGCCUGCAGGAAGUAGCCAGAUUUGAAUCAACGCCCCUUUUUUUCAAAGAGAUCCUAAAUGUUGGUCAUAAAUAUCACCUCCGCUACCUGUCACCCCUUAUACAGUCUGGAAUGUAAUUUCCUGCCUCUGGCCUCUCUUUUGGAGGCCCCGCCUCUAUGCCCCUUGCCCCUCCCCAGAGGAGGUCAGGACCACUCCCCCAGUCUACUGGAAAGUCAACACUUGGUCCGUCGUGUCCCCCCCACCCCACCCCACCCCCGUGGUCGCAUUGAUGACUUCCUGGAGUCCUAUUAAA